AGAGUUUGAUCCUGGCUCAGGAUGAACGCUAGCGGGAGGCCUAACACAUGCAAGCCGAGCGGUAUUUAUUCUUCGGAAUAGAGAGUGCGGCGUACGGGUGCGGAACACGUGUGCAACCUGCCUUUAUCAGGGGGAUAGCCUUUCGAAAGGAAGAUUAAUACCCCAUAAUAUAUUGAAUGGCAUCAUUUGAUAUUGAAAACUCCGGUGGAUAGAGAUGGGCACGCGCAAGAUUAGAUAGUUGGUAGGGUAACGGCCUACCAAGUCAGUGAUCUUUAGGGGGCCUGAGAGGGUGAUCCCCCACACUGGUACUGAGACACGGACCAGACUCCUACGGGAGGCAGCAGUGAGGAAUAUUGGACAAUGGGUGAGAGCCUGAUCCAGCCAUCCCGCGUGAAGGACGACGGCCCUAUGGGUUGUAAACUUCUUUUGUAUAGGGAUAAACCUUUCCACGUGUGGAAAGCUGAAGGUACUAUACGAAUAAGCACCGGCUAACUCCGUGCCAGCAGCCGCGGUAAUACGGAGGGUGCAAGCGUUAUCCGGAUUUAUUGGGUUUAAAGGGUCCGUAGGCGGAUCUGUAAGUCAGUGGUGAAAUCUCAUAGCUUAACUAUGAAACUGCCAUUGAUACUGCAGGUCUUGAGUAAAGUAGAAGUGGCUGGAAUAAGUAGUGUAGCGGUGAAAUGCAUAGAUAUUACUUAGAACACCAAUUGCGAAGGCAGGUCACUAUGUUUUAACUGACGCUGAUGGACGAAAGCGUGGGGAGCGAACAGGAU
rnacentral:rRNA from 1 species